rnacentral:rRNA from 1 species
UACGGAGGAUGCAAGCGUUAUCCGGAAUGAUUGGGCGUAAAGCGUCCGCAGGUGGCAAUGUAAGUCUGCUGUUAAAGAGUCUAGCUCAACUAGAUAAAAGCAGUGGAAACUACAUAGCUAGAGUACGUUCGGGGCAGAGGGAAUUCCUGGUGUAGCGGUGAAAUGCGUAGAGAUCAGGAAGAACACCAGUGGCGAAGGCGCUUUGCUAGGCCGUAACUGACACUGAGGGACGAAAGCUAGGGGAGCGAAUGGG